GACGGGGGGGGCAAGUGUUCUUCGGAAUGACUGGGCGUCAAGGGCACGUAGGCGGUGAAUCGGGUUGAAAGUGAAAGUCGCCAAAAAGUGGCGGAAUGCUCUCGAAACCAAUUCACUUGAGUGGGUCAGAGGAGAGUGGAAUUUCGUGUGUAGGGGUGAAAUCCGUAGAUCUACGAAGGAAGGCCAAAAGCGAAGGCAGCUCUCUGGGUCCCUACCGACGCUGGGGUGCGAAAGCAUGGGGAGCGAACAGG
rnacentral:rRNA from 1 species